rnacentral:sRNA from 2 species
AUCGAAAAUUAGCCGAAUUCCAGACAAUGGAAACGGGGGAACCAAACUUUGGGGUGAAUAGCUGUUCUUUCAAAACAGCUUAGGGAAACCUUUCGACCGAACCCAUCAGCUAACCUCGGAGGCUUAAAAGGAAGGGGCU